rfam:Lupinus angustifolius cultivar Tanjil contig_36927, whole genome shotgun sequence.
UCUCAGUGAUGAUGAAUAAUGAUGACGAGUCCGAUAUUUUCCAUUCUUAACAAUACUGACGACGAUUCGAGGCAUUUGUCUGAGAGGU